UACGUAGGGUGCAAGCGUUGUCCGGAAUUACUGGGCGUAAAGGGCGCGUAGGCGGUUAAUUAAGCUAGAUGUGAAAUCCCUGGGCUUAACCUAGGAACUGCAUCUAAUACUGGUUGACUAGAGUGCGGUAGAGGGUAGUGGAAUUUCCGGUGUAGCGGUGAAAUGCGUAGAUAUCGGAAGGAACACCAGUGGCGAAGGCGGCUACCUGGACUGACACUGACGCUGAGGCGCGAGAGCGUGGGGAGCAAACAGG
rnacentral:rRNA from 1 species